CCGGGAGCGCGGCCGGGCGGCGGGCGGGAGCUGCGGCGGCAGGCGGCGGGGUGCCCGCGGCUCGGCUCGGCUCGGCGGACAGCUCCCACCAUGGACGCCUAGCCUAUGUGACGAAGAAGAACGAGGCAUGGCUGAGUCACAUUAGUGCCCACUACACAUCCUUGGUAUUCCACAGCAAGAGGCACAGAAAAGCUGGUUGGACUUCAUUCCUCCAGUCAAAUGUCAGAAAUGUUGUUAAAUGAAAGGAAGGAAACUAGCAGCCACCCAAAAGAUGCAAAAAUACUCCAGUGCCACCUUGUGCUACAGCCACCACCAGGAUGAGAAGAUGGAUGUGAACCAAGUGAUACCUGUCUUCCUGGAGGAGUUGGAUUGGCGAGGGUCUGGAGAGGGGAAAAAGAAAGAGAAUGAUGGAGAGAGAGGGCACAUCCAUAAUCAUCUUCAAGACAUAGUCCCUAAAAAGUGGAGCUCAGUCUCUUUGUAAGUUCUUUGCUGCAGAGAUCACAAUUGAGCUGGGUUUCCUGUUUUUGAUGGAAGGCCUACUUCUCCUAAAUUACAUUACAAACUGACCUGUCCAGCUGGAGAGGAAACAAUGGAGCUUUUUUGCCAGGCAAUUAGUAGGUAAUUAAAAAUAAUUAAAAGAAAAAAAAAAAAGACCACACAUGAACUUCCUCCAGCAUCCUGGUCCCCACUGGGCGGGCAGGGCAGGCCAAGUGAGCGGCUGCCGUGGCAGAGCAAACCUGCUGAGGGUGUGAUUGCUCACAAGAGAGAUCUCACUCCCCUGGAACCACAUCAUGCUCCCACGGGUGUGGUGAGGAGACUUUUACAGCUUGACAAAUAUUUGAACUAUUGUUAUAGGUAGCUAUUUAUACAAUUCAGUAAUGUUAUACAGUUAUAUAAUACAGUCUGCAAAGCACCACCAGCGAUUUGGUCACCAAUGUUUUGGGUAGGGUGUAAAAUAAAGUCAUGGACUCUGGCCACACCUUUGAAUGGAUGUAGGACCUGCUGAACCUCUGCUGAAGAGCCUUGGCGCUUUCCCUCACUUUCAUCCCCAGCAGACAGCCCUCGAACUGCAGAGACCCUCCCUUCACAAAUAAGUUUACGAGGAAGGAACCUAUGAAGUGAGGCUGCAUUUCAGGGAACUUAAACCUGUAUGACAAGAUCACCAGCUCAGCAGGAAGAAGUCUGCAGAAAAACAAAACCAUGAGGCUGUACUGUGUCUCCCCGUGGAGACACAAGGAUUUUUCAGAUCUGACUCAUCUACCCUGUGGGGACCAGGAGCAGCGCUGCUGCCAGAGCCUGCAGCGGUCAUCCCUGAAUUCUGCAGGCUCCCUCGUGGGAAGGUGCUGAUGCCUGUUUGUGCCAGGGAGGAGGCCAUCUACCACUCCAGUGACUGCAGAGGGCGUGGAGGAGAUUAGCCUUACUCUCCAGGUUUUUGUGAGCCCCUCCCCACUUGCAUCAUCUGGCAGAAUAUCAGGCAACAAGGAGAAUAAACUAAUUCCUGGAAACUCCUCCCUGCACGUUUUCUCUGAAUGGGGUUUAUAUGGCCGGGGGCAGGCUGAGCCUUGUUCUGGCAAUAAAGGAGGGGAGCCACCACAGUGCCUUCCUGAGACUCUGACUGCAAGCAACAGGCAGGAUGGUCUCUGCUGUUGUAUUCUGCAAACUGCUGACAAAUACAAUGGUAUUUUGCUGCAUGAGAAGGAUUUACAUACAUGUUUAUUUGUAUAGCUGACAUCUCCUUUGUUUGCACAAAACAAAAUUUGCAUAUUCAAGUCCCUCAUUAAACACACACCUUUAUCCAAAAAUGGCAUGCAAAUUGUAGCAUAGCAGGCAUUGAAGAUCUACCACAUAACUUUUAUUAUUGAACAGAUCAGACAUGGAGAUGCCCAGACCUCAGAGGCCAGCUUGUUCUUGCUGAGCUGACAGUUCAGAAGGAGAGCAUUUUUAUUUAUAAACUGUAAAGAGUAUUAUACCUGGAAGUAAAUGAAAUAUAAAGUUUAAGCAGUCGAAUGCCAUUUUUACAGUCACUUUUAACCACACUUUAGAUGAAAUAAUAAGCCUUGCCUUGCUUAGCUAUAAAAUAAAAACCAAAUAGGAACAUAUGUCAAUUGUAUAAGCUUCCUAUUACCCUACUUAGUUGCUGCAUUAAUACUCCUUUAAGCAUGCCA